UUACAGUUGAAACUUCAACUUUACAGGAAGCUAAAUUAGAAUCGACUCAUUGAGUUUCAAACCAGUAAGAAAGGUAAUGACAGCAAACUGCUGUCCUCUGAUUGUGUGUGUGCAUGUAAAUGUGUGUGUGUGCUCAACUUCUUACGAUGUCUGAACUUAGACAAGUGAACGUGUUUAAGAAUUUAGAAAGUUUCACUGUUGAAAAGUAGAAUUUUUUUGGUAAUUUAAGUGUUUUUUUUUGUCAGUUUUGUCUGAAAUCAUUUGUGAGGCACAUAAGGAGACUGUGGUUAGUAAUUCACUAAGGAGAUGAGAGGAUCGUCAUCGUCUCUCUGUUUCCGGCUGAGUUCCUCGUUUUGUAAGCCGUGCGUUUGGGUGCUGGAGAGGAAUUUGCUGGAAAGCGAAGCUUCUCUCGUCACCGUUUCUGAAUGCUUGUCCAUCAUUCCUUUCAGCAGUUACAGCAGGCCCGGGACAAUUUGCAUGUCGGACAGACGACAAACGGCACAGCGCGUGUCAGAGUAGGUGGCGAAGCGUGACAGUUCGCACACGACGCUGUCUCCUCGCGCUUUGACCCCACGACCUCGCCGCAUGUCUGCUUUCACAGAGACGAGUCUCCGAGCAGGUUAUUUUGAAGGGAAAUAACGAUGCAGGAAGGGUCACCGUCAUGACGUCCCUCUACUUCUGUUGAAACAAAUUGGACGACGAGAUCUUGCUAGCAAUUUGUGCGGCUGCGUUUGUUGCGAAGCGGUUGUGGGUGUCAAGAACUGACAUGACGCUGACAAACGGUCAGCCUGUGGGUGAACAGGGAGAACAUGGAGAAUGGGUUAAAAAAAAUUCAACCUGUACACAUAUCAAUAG